UGGGGAAUCUUGCGCAAUGGACGAAAGUCUGACGCAGCGACGCCGCGUGAGCGAUGAAGGCCUUCGGGUUGUAAAGCUCUGUGGGGGGAGACGAAUAAGGUGCAGCUAAUACCUGCAUCGAUGACGGUAUCCCCUUAGCAAGCACCGGCUAACUCUGUGCCAGCAGCCGCGGUAAGACAGAGGGUGCAAACGUUGUUCGGAAUUACUGGGCGUAAAGCGCGUGUAGGCGGCUGUGUAAGUCGGGCGUGAAAUCCCAUGGCUCAACCAUGGAAGUGCACCCGAAACUGCGUAGCUAGAGUCCUGGAGAGGAAGGUGGAAUACUUGGUGUAGAGGUGAAAUUCGUAGAUAUCAAGUGGAACACCGGUGGCGAAGGCGGCCUUCUGGACAGUGACUGACGCUGAGACGCGAAAGCGUGGGGAGCAAACAGG
rnacentral:rRNA from 1 species